AUUGAACGCUGGCGGCAUGCUUUACACAUGCAAGUCGAACGGUAACAGGCCGCAAGGUGCUGACGAGUGGCGAACGGGUGAGUAAUGCAUCAGAACGUGCCCAGUCGUGGGGGAUAACGCAGCGAAAGCUGUGCUAAUACCGCAUACGAUCUAUGGAUGAAAGCGGGGGACCGUAAGGCCUCGCGCGAUUGGAGCGGCCGAUGUCAGAUUAGGUAGUUGGUGGGGUAAAGGCCUACCAAGCCGACGAUCUGUAGCUGGUCUGAGAGGACGACCAGCCACACUGGGACUGAGACACGGCCCAGACUCCUCCGGGAGGAAGCAGUGGGGAAUUUUGGACAAUGGGCGCAAGCCUGAUCCAGCAAUGCCGCGUGCAGGAAGAAGGCCUUCGGGUUGUAAACUGCUUUUGUACGGAACGAAACGGUCUGGGUUAAUACCCUGGGCUAAUGACGGUACCGUAAGAAUAAGCACCGGCUAACUACGUGCCAGCCGCCGCCGUAA
rnacentral:rRNA from 1 species